rnacentral:rRNA from 1 species
CAAUGGACGGAAGUNNGANGCAGNGACGCCGCGUGAGCGAUGAAGGCNUUNGGGUNGUAAAGNUCUGUUNUUGGGGANGAAAGGAUGACGGUACCCAAGGAGCAAGCCCCGGCUAACUACGUGCCAGCAGCCGCGGUAAUACGUAGGGGGCGAGCGUUGUCCGGAAUUACUGGGCGUAAAGGGCGUGUAGGCGGCUGAAUAAGUCAGGUGUGAAAGGCCCCGGCUUNACCGGGGUAUUGCACAUGAAACUUUUCGGCUUGAGUGCAGGAGAGGGAAGUGGAAUUCCUAGUGUAGCGGUGAAAUGCGUAGAUAUUAGGAGGAACACCAGUGGCGAAGGCGACUUUCUGGACUGUAACUGACGCUGAGGCGCGAAAGCGUGGGGAGCAAACAGGAUUAGAUACCCUGGUAGUCCACGCUGUAAACGAUGAAUACCA